GUGCCAGCCGCCGCGGUAACACCGGCAGCCCAAGUGAUGGCCGAUAUUAUUUGGCCUAAAGCGUCCGUAGCUGGCCGCGCAAGUUCGUCGGGAAAUCCACUCGCCCAACGGGUGGGCGUCCGACGGAAACUGCACAGCUUGGGACCGGAAGGCUCGAAGGGUACGUUCGAGGUAGGAGUGAAAUCCCAUAAUCCCGCACGGACCACCGAUGGCGAAAGCACUUCGAGAAAACGGAUCCGACAGUGAGGGACGAAAGCCAGGGUCUCCAACCGGAUUAGAAACCCCAGUAGUCC
rnacentral:rRNA from 1 species